AUGACCAGCAGCCGCGAAUCCCCUCCUCACAACCGCAGCAACAACCACGACAACCACUGCUCAGCUUCCAAACCGCGGCCACCCUCCGUCAACCUCAGAUCUUCACACAAUAGCAGCCGCACACAAACCGUCAGUUGCCGUUCCGCACCCUCUUUGAUUCGACGCUACUCCCCCACCGCGACAUCAGCCGACCCAACAUCCUUAAAAUGCGCUGCGUGCGGCUGUCACCGAAACUUCUACCGCCAUAUCCCUCUGUCCAACAACUUCUCAGUCCAGCUUCGUGUGUGUGAACUGUAA
rnacentral:lncRNA from 1 species